AAAGAAGCAAAACACUUUCUGAAACGCAAAAACCCUUUCAUCAGAUCAACUCUGCAUCGUCGUUUUCCUUCACCGUCGGUCCUUCAUGACGUUCCAACAAUAACAAGCACUACGAAGUUCCUGCAACUACAAAUCCCUAAUUAGGCUUCAAAUCCCUAACUCCUUCCAAAUCCAAACCACUAACUCGUUCAUCUAUCAUUCCAAUCCCUAAUCGUCAAAUCUCUGACAAAUCUCAGGUGUUAUUUUAUACUUCUAGAUGUUAUUUUGCUUGUUUUCAUCUCCUUUGUUCUCUGUCGUUCUUCACAGAUCUUGUGUCGUGACUCGUUUGUUCUCCGUCCGCCGAUCUGUGACUCGUCAUCUUUCUACGUGGUUCGAGCCUCUCUAGUUGGUAAGAAUCUAAAAAACCCUAGUCCUCUUUUUGUUUCCUCUAUUUUCCCCCUUAAAUAUAGUUGCCUGCGUUGAAAUAUUAUUUCGAGGAUUGAGGUUAACGAGAUUAGAGUACUAAAGCCUUUCAAUUUAUUUUUUUGUUGAUGUUUGAUUUUAAUGUUUCUCUGUUCUAUUUAUUGAGGUGAAUGAUUUAUGGAAGUAAAGUCUAUCAAUCACGGCUUCCUCUUUGAUUUCUCCAUAACAAAACUCAAAAUUUGUUAGUUUCUCCAUUCUUAUGUACCUUAUGGCUUUUUGUUUAAUCUUUUGUUAAUUCUCUAUAUUAAUAAUAAUGCUCAUUAAUUUCUUCACAAUUUUAUUCUUUAAUGUUUGUCUCAAAAUGUAUUGUUUUGUUUUGUUUGUAGAUGAAUUAGUUUGGUUUUGCGGAUAAGCUAAUGUGUGCAUUUGUUUGGUCUUUUCCCGGUUGCGGUUGCUGGCGUAUUUGGCCUCUAGUACUGGUUUUUAUGUGCUUUCUUGCUCAUUUCUUGUGUCAUUGGAUUCUGAGUUUAUGUUAUUGGUGAAGGCCUGAUUUGGUUUGGGUUUCCUGGCAUAUCUGGUCUUUUGGCCCUGAAGUAUGGUUUUUGGUUCCCUUUUUGUGGUUCUAUAUCUGUUUUUGCUGCUGGUAGUUUGGGUAAGGUGAGGGUUUUGGGACUUGUAGCUUUUUAGUUUUUAGUUCCAGCUUUUGUUUCAUGGUUGCUUACUUUACGGUUGUCGAUGUCAAUAAAUAUAAGUUUCUAUGAUAUCUAUUCUCUUUUUUAUGUUAUCCUUUAUUUUGAUAUUUAUAUUUAUAUGUUGAUUAUUAUUAUUGAUGUGAUUUUAGGUCCAGUUUUACAAUAAUCUUAUGAAUUUAUUUGAUGUUCUUUGAAUGAAUUUAUCUCGAAUUGGAAACCAUCGAGAAACAGAGAGUGGUCGGUGGACUUCACAAAACCAUCAGACUCAUCAUCCGUAGUUGUUGCUCCUUCUAUAAUCGCACCGAAACAGGUUCUAAAUAUUAUUUCUGAGUUUAUAUCUAAUGACUUUGAAUGUCAAAUGUUGAUGAAAGUUUUGAUUCUUGUUAAUGUUAAACUCUAUUGAUCUUUUGGGUUGGGUUAAAGUCGUUAGUUAAAAAAAUAAAUAAAUUAAGAACUUGAUACUGUUCAUAUAUAUGAUGCUUGUCAUGAAUUGGGAAUCAAGUAACUUAUAGCCUUUUAAUAAAUGAAGAUUUUGUGAUUAAUUGUGCAAAUUUUGGAG
rnacentral:lncRNA from 1 species